CGGCAUGCCUUACACAUGCAAGUCGAACGGUAACAGGCCGCAAGGUGCUGACGAGUGGCGAACGGGUGAGUAAUGCAUCGGAACGUGCCCAGUCGUGGGGGAUAACUGCUCGAAAGAGCAGCUAAUACCGCAUACGACCUGAGGGUGAAAGCGGGGGACCGAAAGGCCUCGCGCGAUUGGAGCGGCCGAUGUCAGAUUAGGUAGUUGGUGGGGUAAAGGCCUACCAAGCCGACGAUCUGUAGUUGGUCUGAGAGGACGACCAGCCACACUGGGACUNAAACNCGGCCCANACUCCUACGGGAGGCAGCAGUGGGGAAUUUUGGACAAUGGGGGCAACCCUGAUCCAGCAAUGCCGCGUGCAGGAAGAAGGCCUUCGGGUUGUAAACUGCUUUUGUCAGGGAAGAAAUCCUGUGGGUUAAUACCUCGUGGGGAUGACGGUACCUGAAGAAUAAGCACCGGCUAACUACGUGCCAGCAGCCGNGGUAAUACGUAGGGUGCAAGCGU
rnacentral:rRNA from 1 species